AGCCUUCCGAAUCCGUGCCGAAGUUUCACCAGACGCCAGACCAUCAGGACUGCUGAGACUCCCAUGAUAAGUAAAGCG
rfam:Schistosoma haematobium C10003231_1, whole genome shotgun sequence.